rnacentral:rRNA from 2 species
AGGAUGAACGCUGGCGGCGUGCCUAAUACAUGCAAGUCGAGCGAACAGAUGAGAAGCUUGCUUCUCUGAUGUUAGCGGCGGACGGGUGAGUAACACGUGGGUAACCUACCUAUAAGACUGGGAUAACUCCGGGAAACCGGGGCUAAUACCGGAUAAUAUUUUGAACCGCAUGGUUCAAUAGUGAAAGACGGUUUCGGCUGUCACUUAUAGAUGGACCCGCGCCGUAUUAGCUAGUUGGUAAGGUAACGGCUUACCAAGGCGACGAUACGUAGCCGACCUGAGAGGGUGAUCGGCCACACUGGAACUGAGACACGGUCCAGACUCCUACGGGAGGCAGCAGUAGGGAAUCUUCCGCAAUGGGCGAAAGCCUGACGGAGCAACGCCGCGUGAGUGAUGAAGGUCUUCGGAUCGUAAAACUCUGUUGUUAGGGAAGAACAAAUUUGUUAGUAACU